UUGCUUUUCAGUCCUUGUAACCUCAAUUUGAUGUUUGAUGUUUAGAUUUUGGGUGAUUCUGUUGAAGCCUACCCCCAUGCGGAGAGCCUGACAGCGAGAUGGCUGUGUUGCUAUGUGUUGCAGAGACCUGGAGAAUUUAUUUCUCUUCUGUUGAAAAGAAGAUUUUGAAUAACCAUGGCAACAGUAAAACCUGCUGUGAAUCUUACAGCAUGAAGUAUUUCUGAUAGCUGCUUCUGGGGAUCAAGGAUUUAGUCAAGGAUAUCUCUUCUGUGUGGUGUUAUUCCUUCUUGCCCCAGCUCUCCCACAUUGAUACCAGAGACAUCAAUGUGAAGGCAAAGCUGGAAGUUCAACCACAUAACCCACCUUGAAGCUGUGCCUGUACUGUUCUAUUGCUGCUGACAAACUAGGCCAGCUGGCUAAUUAAUUAAGGAUGAGACACUUGGUGAUGUGCACCUGGAAAUCAUUAGAUGCCUGGAGGUUACACAUUCACACUUAACUAGGACUUUCACCAUGAGGUGAACUCUGAUGUUUUCAUGAGCUGAGGAAUAAUGAGAAUGGACCAAGGCAUUAACAUGUUCAAGACCGAUAAUAAUUUCCUGCUGCUA